ensembl:lncRNA
UUCUUAUAAUCUUAUAGUUUUGUUGUCUAAGUUCUAUAUACUUGAUUCCAACUAGAUAUUAAAAAGCAGGUAAAUACAAAUGAUUGAUGUAUGUAAAAAUCCUCAGUAAUUAGUUUAGGACCACUGGAUGACUCUGCAUAUUUCUAAUUAGAUAUAUUGACAGAUUUCACACCCAUAGAAUGAAGAGGGAAAAUGACUAAAACUUCCUUAAAUUAGUAUAUAAUAUCUUUGAUAUUAGAGAGAGAAUGUGAUCUACAUUCCCUGUGUUGUUUUCCACAUUCAUUUUCCCACUGUGACCACUGUGAAAUCAGACCUAAGUCAGUGUAGUGGAAUUAAAUCACAUGGAAGAGAACUCAGGUUUCUCAGGUAAAGCCUUAUUACCCAGUGUUCUGCAGGUUAUACACUCAUUAACAAUGUUAUACACUCUUGAGGCUGGCAGAAACCUACACUUGUGAAGAGUAAUACAGAGCUGAUAUUUUAAGCAACAGAGGUUUUUUUUAAAAAUAUUUAGUUAUUUAUUUGAAAGAGUUACAGAGAGAGAAGAGGGAGAGAGAGACAGAGAGAGAGAGAGAGAGAGAGAGAGAGAGAGAUCUUUCAUCCGUUGAUUCACUCCCCAAUUGGCCGCAAUGGCCGGAGCUGUGCCGAUCUGAAGCCAAGAGCCAGCAGCUUCUUCUGGGUCUCUCAUGUGGGUGCAGGGGCCCAAGGAUUUUGAGCCAUGUUCUACUACUUUCCCAGGCCACAGCAGAGAACUGGAUCAGAAGUGGAGCAUCCAGGACUCAAACUGGCACCCUUAUGGGAUAUCAGCACUGCAGGCGGCGGCUUUACCCACUAUGCCACAGCACCAACCCCAUCAACUGAAGAACUGGCCACAUUGGCUUACUGUAUACUCGUCUGAACUACACUUUGAAGAGGAACGGGAUUUGGAAGCUUGAAUUUAUAGUAGCACCAGCUGAAGCUCCAUGGGCAUCUUACCCCAGCUUGACUAGAGUGCCACUUCUGUCUGUUUUACUGAUAGGUGCCUUUCAGCCUGCAUUUCUACCUGGUUCUUCCCUUAGAGUAGUGUGGGUGGUCUCACCUGCUCCUGGAUUUUGUGCCCCCUUUUGAUUGUUAUGAAAUUAAAAUAUUAUAUAAAUAAGGUUUGGUUUCCAGGCAGCCUGAUUUUUUUAAUUUUUUAAAAGAUGUCUUUUCUUAUUUGACAAUGAACAACAGAAAAGAGAGGGACACACACACACACUCACAUACACAAAUGCACACAGAGAGUGAGAGUGAGAGCAAGAGAGAGAGAGAGAGAGAGAGAGAGAGAGAGAGAGAAUGUUCUAUUCACUAGUUAACUCCCUAAAUGGCUGUAACAGCCAACAUUGCCCCUGGCUGAAGCCAGGAACUUGGAACUCCACCCUGCUUUCCCACAUGGGUACAGGAACCUAAUCACUUGAGCCAUUUUUGUUUUCUUCCUGACACAUCAGGAGGACUGAAUUGAAAGUGGACCAUUCAAGAUGCCAACGGGUGGUUAUAUGGGAUGCCAGCAUUGAAGGCAGUGGCUCAAUCUGCUACACCACAAUGCUAGUGCCUAGAUAACUUCAUUUCAAUCUCAAAUUUUCCCUAAUGAAAACUCAACAACCAGUUGACUUUUAUUCCUAAUGUUUCAAAGCAUCUGAUUCUUCUGUCACCAGCAU